rnacentral:snRNA from 1 species
AGCUGUUUCUGUGCAUUAAACAAGCCAUGUACUUCCCUCCCGACGCUGUGCGCUAAGUCAAAGAGGACGACCUUCCCUGAAUAGAGGAGGAUCGGUCUUCUGUCCAGGGCAUAUGAGUAGCUGCGCUCCCCUGCUAGAACCUCCAAACAAACUCUCAAGGUCCAUAGUUUGGAUUUUGAAUGCCUCUCAAUGGCCCACAGAUUAAAAACUUAGUUUUCAAGGUGAUGCCAUGUGGUGAUGUUGAAGCCUUUGAA